rnacentral:rRNA from 1 species
UGGACCCGCAAUACGUCGACCCGGGGGAUUCAACCAGGCCGUGCGUUCGGGACGCGUGGGGGUUAUGCGGAGCUGUAAAGCCCGUGCCUUCGCGUGGGUCUCCGGGCGGCCUGGUGCACUUUCCUCGGGUUGAUUGCCACGACCGGCUCUCCGUGCGGCCAUAAGCCUGUUGCUGGUAGGUGACCGUCGGCCCCGCGCCGGCGGUGUUAUAGACCAGCUCGUUCGUUGCGCUCGUCGGAGGGCCGAGGAAGUUGCCGUUCCUCAGCACCCUCUGGCCAUCCUUGCUCGUCACGACUGGGGUGAACUGCUUCGUCAGUGCUCUCCCGACCGCGAGCGUAGGAAGGGCUGGUACGGUGCGAGGAUGCUUCGGGCCAGUGGCGAAUCGGUCGGUCCUCCACCCGACCCGUCUUG